rnacentral:rRNA from 1 species
AUUGAACGCUGGCGGCAUGCUUUACACACGCAAGUCGGACGGCAGCACAGAGAAGCUUGCUUCUUGGGUGGCGAGUGGCGAACGGGUGAGUAACAUAUCGGAACGUACCGAGCAGUGGGGGAUAACUAAUCGAAAGAUUAGCUAAUACCGCAUAUCUUCUGAGGAAGAAAGCAGGGGACCAUUUGGCCUUGCGCUGUUUGAGCGGCCGAUAUCUGAUUAGCUAGUUGGUGGGGUAAAGGCCUACCAAGGCGACGAUCAGUAGCGGGUCUGAGAGGAUGAUCCGCCACACUGGGACUGAGACACGGCCCAGACUCCUACGGGAGGCAGCAGUGGGGAAUUUUGGACAAUGGGCGAAAGCCUGAUCCAGCCAUGCCGCGUGUCUGAAGAAGGCCUUCGGGUUGUGAAGGACUUUUGUCAGGGAAGAAAAGGGCGGGGUUAAUACCCCUGUCUGAUGACGGUACCUGAAGAAUAAGCACCGGCUAACUACGUGCCAGCAGCCGCGGUAAUACGUAGGGUGCGAGCGUUAAUCGGAAUUACUGGGCGUAAAGCGGGCGCAGACGGUUACUUAAGCAGGAUGUGAAAUCCCCGGGCUCAACCUGGGAACUGCGUUCUGAACUGGGUGACUAGAGUGUGUCAGAGGGAGGUAGAAUUCCACGUGUAGCAGUGAAAUGCGUAGAGAUGUGGAGGAAUACCGAUGGCGAAGGCAGCCUCCUGGGAUAACACUGACGUUCAUGCCCGAAAGCGUGGGUAGCAAACAGG